UACGAAGGGGGCUAGCGUUGUUCGGAAUUACUGGGCGUAAAGGGCUCGUAGGCGGCCAACUAAGUCCGACGUGAAAUCCCAAGGCUUAACCUUGGAACUGCGUCGGAUACUGGAUGGCUUGAAUUCGGGAGAGGGAUGCAGAAUUCCAGGUGUAGCGGUGAAAUGCGUAGAUAUCUGGAGGAACACCGGUGGCGAAGGCGGCAUCCUGGACCAUUACUGACGCUGAGGAGCGAAAGCCAGGGGAGCAAACGGG
rnacentral:rRNA from 1 species